rfam:Pediococcus cellicola strain DSM 17757 Scaffold6, whole genome shotgun sequence.
AGGGUGUAAUGAUGUUGGAAGUCCAUUCCGAGUCUAGCCCACGGUUAAUAGUUUCUAUUAACUAU